UCCGUAGGUGGCAAGCGUUGUCCGGAUUUACUGGGCGUCAAGAGCGCGCAGGCGGUCGUUCAAGUCGCGUGUGAAAGCCCCCGGCUCAACUGGGGAGGGUCACGCGAGACUGAUCGACUCGAAGGCAGGAGAGGGAAGUGGAAUUCCCGGUGUAGUGGUGAAAUGCGUAGAUAUCGGGAGGAACACCAGUGGCGAAGGCGACUUCCUGGCCUGUUCUUGACGCUGAGGCGCGAAAGCUAGGGGAGCAAACGGG
rnacentral:rRNA from 1 species